CAUUAGGAGUUGGACUUUGAUGAUCCCAGUGGGUCCCUUCCAUCUCAAUAUAUUCUAUGUUUCUGUGAUAUAUUACUGGGGAAGAAGUACAGAAUGCUCAGAACAAUGGAGAUUGUCUCCCCAGGUGACCCUCACUUAUGACAGAGCCCUGCUUCCCUGGAGAUGGCAGAACAGCUUCCUGCCCAUGUGAAGAGAUCCAAACACAGCUGACCUUACUGUGCCAGAUGUUGUGUGAUUCCAAAGACCUAGAGUGUGUCCAGGUGCUACUCCACAGAGCUCACAAGCUGGAUUCGGCUCAGGAGACACACUGGCUACAUUGAGAUAUGAACAAUGCACAGACAGAAUAAACAACUUGAUGA